GACGAACCGUCCAAACGUUAUUCGGAAUCACUGGGCUUACAGAGUUCGUAGGCGGUCUGGAAAGUUGGGUGUGAAAUCCCUCGGCUCAACCGAGGAACUGCGCUCGAAACUACCAGACUCGAGGGAGAUAGAGGAAAGCGGAACUGAUGGUGGAGCGGUGAAAUGCGUUGAUAUCAUCAGGAACACCGGUGGCGAAGGCGGCUUUCUGGGUCUUACCUGACGCUGAGGAACGAAAGCUAGGGGAGCGAACGGG
rnacentral:rRNA from 1 species